GCCAGGCACAGUGGAGCACGCCUGUAAUCCCAGCAGCUUGGGAGGCUGAGACAAGAGGAUCGCAGGUUCAAGGCAGCCUCAGCAAUGGCGAAGCACUAAGCAGCUCAAUGAGACCCUGUCUCUA
rnacentral:sRNA from 1 species